AGACUGCUAAAAGCCAAAGCUUUAAGAGACCAUCGUGUUUUCAGGACUGUUAAUUAAAUGAUCCAUCGCAGGCCUGGCUCUGAGCCUCGCUGGUGCUGACUGAAUCACAUUCCCCGGCUCAAGAAAAGAUGAUCAAUAGCCAUCAAUCAAUGGCCAAAGUGAAGCAAGUGGGUCGCAGCAAGCAGAGCUCUCCCGCCGCCUGCAGAAACCUCCUG